GCCAUGCUUCUUCAGUCUUCGAGCUGGAAGCUUUCCGGGGAGGGUCAGUAAUGGCCACUGAGCCCUCUGUUGGCUUAUUGGCUGAGCUCACUGAUGAGGAAACCUUGAGUUCGUCACUUUCUCUUCUCUAAUUGCUGAAGUGGCCGUCACUGAAGAUGACAGAGCGUUUCUGAAGGACACAUGGGAAUCAUUAACCAGCCCAAUAAAAUGAUCUAUUUAUGUAGAGUUCCUUGGACAGCCCAGGGAAGGACCUCCACCUUCGUUGCUCCCUUCUCCUGUCCCCCCACCUACCAAAACACAGGAACCCCAUCUUCAGACAGAAGGCAUGCUGCCUCAUGAAGGCUCACAGUUCCAGCCCUUAGAACCAUCCAGAGGUUAGACUCAGGUUUGUGUUCCCAGUGGCAGGAUAAAUGUGCCUUUCUUGGAGCUGAGCCUACUUUGCCCUAAGGUUACAUUUCUACACAAGGAAGCCUUUUUAAAGAGUAGUGCUUCAGGCCUCCACACUAACGGUUUGUGUCUGCCAUCUUAGAAAAAGGGAGCCCAUAAUAAAACUACAGGAGCCAGCAAUAGAGAAUUACAACCCCAGAAUGAGAGGGGGUCUGCUUCGGCCCUGCUAAAUGCUGAGCCUUGGUCUCUCUGAGGAAGAACAAAAAAGCGGAAGGAAUUUAAGUCAAUUGUCUCCUGGAUUGCCUUAGCAGAGACCAGGAAAACAGGGUGCUUACUAAGGGUCUACUGACUCUUGGCCACUACCCUGGUACUAGACAAGCUGGGAGGGAAACGGUUGGGGGUGGGGCGGGGGUGGGGUGGGGAGAGAAAAGUUCAUGUAAGUCAAAGCAGCCUGUGAUGUACAAGCAUCCAAGCUAGAGGCUAUGUGUAUGGUGCUGUGACUCAGAGUAUAGCCAGUUCAUUUUCAGAUAGUAUGGAACAAAUACUACUAAAGAUCUCUGGGUGCCCCUGAUAGGCAGAAAUGGCGAGAACAUCAGAAAAAGGGCUGGAACACAGCAAAGGGGCUGGAGGAAAAACAAAGGUAGUGGCUGAUAGGUUAUCUCCUCCUGGGUCUGAAUCCAGGCAGAGAGAGGGGAAGGAAGCCCCCAAGCAGACCGGCCUGCUUUGAAGAGAGAGCACAGGGUUGACAGAGAAUAGAGAAGGCACUGCGGCCACCUGUCCAGCAGCUCUGGUUUUGGCAGUGCGGUCCUGAUGCCUGCAUUGCUGGACCCAGCUUGAGAGCUUCCUAAAAUAUCCCUGGGGCUGAUGCAAUAGCAGUUUGUGGCGGAGCUGCAUUGCCAUGUGGUGAUGGAAUAACCUGGUGAUGUAGAGGGAGCCUUUUAAGUCUUCGUGGGAUCUGACCCAACGAGCCCUACUGAGAACAAGCCAGGUGGCACAGUGGUUAGUUCUCCGGUGUGGGAAGAAUGGCGUUCCCCUUCACCCAUCUACAUCACUGCUCAGCCAGGGCAUGGCAACUCUCAGGAGGGCAGUCCUGAGCAGUCCUGAGCAGUCCUUUCACAACCCUUCAGCUCUCUGAAUGUCAAGAGAUGCAAGGUUACCUAGUCCACCUUCACCCUGAAGAGAGCCCCCUGCUCUAGAAUACCUUCUGGGUGACGACCAACUUGUGUUAGGGAAAGGAAGAGGAGCCCCUGGUCUGAAAGAAGAACUGAAAGAUAUUAGGACACAGUAGCACCCUAAGCUAGGCUAUGGUCAUCUCCAAAUAAAAAUGGUUGCUCAAGUUCUAUGCCA
rnacentral:lncRNA from 1 species